GAGAGAAGUUGAGAAAAGGGACUGAGGUUGAUAGCGAGACAGAGAGACAGCGUCGGUUUUUCUCUGAAACAAAGGGCAGAUUUGCAUGCCACUGAGACAGGUUCUCAGAAACCUUGUGUUAAGAAUAACUUGGUCUUUGAGCUGCACAUGCAGGGUUUGACAUAGGAGAUCACACCGUAAGGACCGUGUGGUGGUAACAAUAUCGUCAUCCAGUGGCCUCAACAUCUUUGGGGGAGUAGUUGUGUUCUGACUGAUGACAAGGGCCUUGUAAAGACCAUCCAGACCAUCUCCUUCCUCAACCUGUCCAACCUCACCUCCUGGCAGAGGGAGACCCACUUCCCUCACUCCAAAAGCAGCGAACUAACAAUCAUGAAUCUAGAAAAUCUGAUUUUAUUUCAAUUUGGGAAUUAAUUAUCAAGACAUAAUUCAUAAAUGACAUGUGUUGAAAAAAUAAAAUACUUGUAUUGUUUUAUUGUUAAGUCUAAGUAUUAGUUUAUUUGCCAGUGUUGUUUAUAUGUGUAACAAGUUACCAAAAGUGUCAACAAUUUAACCUGACCUUAUGGUGAGAGUGAUUAUUAUUUACAUUCUCUAAUUCAAGUUCUCUCUGUACACAUACAAUGUCUUAAAUAAUGAAGUAGAGAUCCACGGAAGGGUGAUCCAAAGGGGAAUGUUAGUUGGUUGUAUCUACAUGGUGAAAAACAUAUCCACAUUUAUAAAUGUGGUUUUGUAUUCACACACAUCUACUCCCUGCUUUUAAGCAAGAAGGUUGAGCUCAUUUCAUCCUCCAUGGUCUUAACUUAAAUGGAUGAAAUUUUGACCAGUUCAAAGCCAGGCUGAUAUUCUCCCCCAAAAGAGUCUAUCAACAGGAUCGUAUUUCCCCUUCAGGUUAGAAUGUUGUUUAAAACAUCAUGGAGUAAAACUAUGGGUUAACUGAGACCUAUU
ensembl:lncRNA